AUGGAGAGUUUGAUCCUGGCUCAGGACGAACGCUGGCGGCGUGCCUUACACAUGCAAGUCGAGCGAUCGGCCCGGUCCUCCGGGACCGGGUACGGAGCGGCGAACGGGUGAGUAACACGUGAGCAACCUACCUCUGGCACCGGGAUAACCCCGGGAAACUGGGGCUAAUACCGGAUAACCAUCGGCCGGGGCAUCUCGGCCGAUGCAAAUGGUUCCGAUCUCUGAUCGGUUCUGGCCAGGGAUGGGCUCGCGGCCCAUCAGUCUGAUGGUGGGGUAACGGCCCACCAAGGCGACGACGGGUAGCCGGCCUGAGAGGGUGAUCGGCCACACUGGGACUGAGAUACGGCCCAGACUCCUACGGGAGGCAGCAGUGGGGAAUAUUGCACAAUGGGCGAAAGCCUGAUGCAGCAACGCCGCGUGAGGGAUGACAGCCUUCGGGUUGUAAACCUCUUUCGGCGCCGACGAAGCCCUGAUUCGUCAGGACAGGGUGACUGUAGGCGCAGAAGAAGCACCGGCCAACUACGUGCCAGCAGCCGCGGUAAUACGUAGGGUGCAAGCGUUGUCCGGAAUUACUGGGCGUAAAGAGCUCGUAGGCGGUCUGUCGCGUCGGCUGUGAAAUGUCGGGGCUCAACCCCGGAACUGCAGCCGAUACGGGCAGACUAGAGGACGGCAGGGGCAAGUGGAAUUCCUGGUGUAGCGGUGAAAUGCGCAGAUAUCAGGAGGAACUCCGCUGGCGAAGGCAGCUUGCUGGGCCGAUCCUGACGCUGAGGAGCGAAAGCGUGGGGAGCGAACAGGAUUAGAUACCCUGGUAGUCCACGCCGUAAACGUUGGGCGCUAGGUGUGGGGAAUGACCAUAUUCUCCGCGCCGUAGCUAACGCGUUAAGCGCCCCGCCUGGGGAGUACGGCCGCAAGGCUAAAACUCAAAGGAAUUGACGGGGGCUCGCACAAGCGGCGGGGCAUGCGGAUUAAUUCGAUGCAACGCGAAGAACCUUACCUGGGUUUGACAUGCCGGGAAAUCUUCCAGAGAUGGGAGGUGCCUUAGGGCGCCCGGCACAGGUGGUGCAUGGCUGUCGUCAGCUCGUGUCGUGAGAUGUUGGGUUAAGUCCCGUAACGAGCGCAACCCUUGUCCCAUGUUGCCAGCGGUUCGGCCGGGGACUCAUGGGAGACCGCCGGGGCCAACUCGGAGGAAGGCGGGGAUGACGUCAAGUCAUCAUGCCCCUGAUGCCCAGGGCUUCACGCAUGCCACAAUGGCCGGUACAAAGGGCAGCGAUACCGCAAGGUGGAGCGAAUCCCAGAAAACCGGUCUCAGUUCGGAUCGGGGUCUGCAACUCGACCCCGUGAAGUCGGAGUCGCUAGUAAUCGCAGAUCAGCAACGCUGCGGUGAAUACGUUCCCGGGCCUUGUACACACCGCCCGUCACGUACUGGGAGUCGGCAACGCCCGAAGCCGGUGGCCCAACCCCGUUCUACGGGGAGGGAGCCGUCGAAGGCGGGGCUGGCGACUAGUACGAAGUCGUAACAAGGUAGCCGUACCGGAAGGUGCGGCUGGAUCACCUCCUUUCUAA
rnacentral:rRNA from 2 species